GCCUGGGUGGCUCAGUCGGUUGAGUGUCUAAUUUCAGCUCAGGUCAUGAUAUCGUAGUCAGUGGGUUCGAGCCCCGCAUCGGGCU
rnacentral:tRNA from 1 species